GGCUUGGCGCGCGCGGCCCGGCUCGAUUCGGGUUGUGUGCCGUUGUGCGCCUGCCAUCCUUGCAUCGGGCGGCUGUGCUCUUCACUGGGUUGCAGUCGCGCUGUUGCAUCUUUUACUUUGAAAAAAUUAGAGUGUUUAAAGCAGGCUUGCGCUAUGAAUACAUUAGCAUGGAAUAAUAACUUAGGACUUCUGUUCUAUUUUGUUGGUUUCUAGGAUGGAAGUA
rnacentral:rRNA from 1 species